GCCCUGGCAGUCAGAGGCGAUGAAGGGCGUGCUAAUCUGCGAUAAGCGCCGGUAAGGUGAUAUGAACCGUUAUAACCGGCGAUACCCGAAUGGGGAAACCCAGUGUGAUUCGUCACACUAUCAUUAACUGAAUCCAUAGGUUAAUGAGGCGAACCGGGGGAACUGAAACAUCUAAGUACCCCGAGGAAAAGAAAUCAACCGAGAUUCCCCCAGUAGCGGCGAGCGAACGGGGAGGAGCCCAGAGCCUGAAUCAGCAUGUGUGUUAGUGGAAGCGUCUGGAAAGGCGCGCGAUACAGGGUGACAGCCCCGUACACAAAAGCGCAUGUGCUGUGAGCUCGAUGAGUAGGGCGGGACACGUGGUAUCCUGUCUGAAUAUGGGGGGACCAUCCUCCAAGGCUAAAUACUCCUGACUGACCGAUAGUGAACCAGUACCGUGAGGGAAAGGCGAAAAGAACCCCGGCGAGGGGAGUGAAAAAGAACCUGAAACCGUGUACGUACAAGCAGUGGGAGCACAGGUUUACCUGUGUGAC
rnacentral:rRNA from 1 species